UAUUAUGAACACAUACACAUAUUGAAGACUACUUAGGCCUGAGUGGGUUUAAGGGCCCUUCUCAUAAUUGGCACUUCAGAUUACUGCUCAAAUAAAAAAGAUUCGUGGACUUCUUUUUUUUUUACAUGCCGUAUUUAUUCUGCACAUCAUAAAAUUUCCUUUUGUCUGCUCUACAAGUACAACUUUGAUUAUUAUGGGAUAGUCAGUGUUAUGCUGUUGCAUUCACUCACAUUGACAUUUGCUCUGUGAGGGGCAUUGUGGAAGUCCCCGCUCUCCCUGGUUUUUUACUGCCUAUCACCGAUGGUUACCCACAUAAUCGGACGAUUUUGUAGAAAUGCAGGUGAUUCAGUUGGGCACGGCGGAUUACAUUGUUCCUGUUGCUGUUCUCUAAAACCGGAAGGUGUCAGCUUCCUGAAUAGAGUGAUUAUCACCAGAGUCUGAGGUUAUCAGUCAUGGCUUACGGGGCAUUUAAAACACCACAGUCCCUGUUAGAAGAUGUAGACGGAAACGAAGAUGUGGAGUCCUUACAUACUGGCGGUGUGAGAAGAUCGCACACAACGAGUACUCGAUUAGACACGACAACCAGACGCCGAACUGAUAACCGAGGGACGCGUGUAGGCGAGCAAAGAAAGCCAAAAGCGCAAGAACAGAAUCGUCAUGACACCGUGAGAACAGACAAGUCGAGCUCGGGUCAAAAAACAAGGUCUUCCAACGGAAUGAAGACAUCAUUCAAGGCCAGAUUUCACGUGUCUUCGGCCAACAAUCACGGUCAGAAAUCUGCACCUUCCGGUAGCAAAGUACCACAUCAGUCAGUCCAGCGCAAGGCCACGGCAGCCCCCUUCUCAGACCAAGAACUACAAAGCUUCUUGGAAGAUGAGCCCUAUGACGUUCUCUCCCAGCUUGCUAAGAGAAGCGAAAACUGCCAGUCUUUAUUAAACCAAGAUAAUAUCAGCGAACACACAUUACUCCUAACAGUCCGUGUUCUGUCUUGCUUAUGUUACCUAGAUCCCGUAGGGGAGUCUGCACACAUUAAAGAAUUGAAUGCAAUACUCAGUUUAAUUGAAUCGUCAGCUUUCCUCAGUAAGCAUUUGACUAGGUAUUUAGUCACUUUGCCAAUUAAGGAGCCGGACGAGACUGAUAAUGAUAACGCACCGGGCCCUGCUGACGCAGAGUUGGACUUGAUUCUCAAGUUACUCCAGUUGUUUUUGCAACAUAAACCUGGACGGUACUCAGAGGUAGGAGGGCCUUUGAUUCUCCUGGAGCGGGUAGUGACAACAGGCAGAUUGUUGGUGCAAUUACAGCAGUUGAAGACCAGCUACAACUCAGUGGAGCAGGCUCAGAGAUCAGCCAAGCAGCGGGCCAUGGAAAAGCCACCACCAAACAACUUCAGAGAUAUCCCAAUCUUCCCAGAAAGCAGGGAGAUUCGGCAGGUCACCAGGCCGUUCCUCAGAAAGAACAUCAUAAAGGGAAAAUAUGAGAGUGUUGAACAUUACCUGGAUGUUCAAUUCCGGCUGCUGAGAGAAGACUUCGUGGCGCCGUUGAGGGAGGGUGUUACCGAGUUCCUGACAGAUACCACCGGACGCCCUCAAGACAUCAGGAUCUACCAAAAUGUCGUUGUCCAAAACAGAACAAUGGGGGAGAAUGGUUUUAUCUACACUCUGAAUUUCGACGUCAGACCGCUGAAACGCGUGCGCUGGGAAGCGAGUAAGCGUCUCCUGUAUGGUUCCUUCGUCUGUCUCACUAAAGAUAAAUUCCACCACAUUAUCUGUGCAACGGUGGAGAACAGGAAGCCAGCAGACUUAGCGCAGGGUCUUGUAGAUGUUUGCUUCCUAACAGAUAUUGCUCCUACCAAAGGUCCCUUUAUUAUGGCAGAGUCCGCUGCUUACUUUGAGGCCUAUCGCCACGUGCUUCAGGGGCUACAGCAGAUGAACGAAAAGCGUUUCUCCUUCAGGAGAUAUAUCGUCGAUGUUGCUUCUAGUGUCGACCCACCAGCAUACCUCCGUGACUUCAGUGAUACAACGUAUGACUUUGCACUGCUGGCUCAAAAGGACUUCCUUUCACGCUGGAAGUUGUCUCAUAUCCGGGUUUUAUUCCCCGAAUGUUGGCCGCUUGCAGAGGAUCUAAACCUCGACGAAUCUCAAAAGGCCGCCCUCCAUACAGCUUUGACGAAGGAGUUUGCGAUUAUUCAGGGCCCUCCUGGAACAGGCAAGACUUACAUUGGACUGAAAAUUAUCCAGCUACUUCUGCUGAACGACUCUUGGAAAAUCAACCUAGAUUAUUCUCCUAUCCUGGUUGUGUGUUACACGAACCAUGCAUUAGAUCAGUUUCUGGAAGGAAUUAUAGCCUUCAGAGAGCAGAAUGUGGUCCGAGUGGGGAGUCGGAGCUCAAGUGAGAUACUUGAAAGCAAGAAUCUGUCUCACUUAAGAAAAGAAAGACCACGAAAAGAAGUAAGUCAGAGCGACAAAAGGGCCCUGCGUGAAACAGAUGAGGAAAUUCAGAUAUGUCUUGCAAAGCUGGAUAUACCCAAUAAAGCCUUAAUACAUAUCGAUUCUCUGAAAGAGUACAUGACAAGAGGGGAAUAUUUUGCGCUUUCUCGACGCCGUCAUAGAGGGGAACCUCAGGAAGAGGAAGCAGAAAAGUUACUCCAUUGGCUGAACGUUGUGGACGUGGAAGAUGAACGAGACUGGGCUCUACCGUCCAAUCAGAAACAGCAAGAAAGCAUGGAACGCAUUAACGUAGAAUAUGAAGGUUACAGAAUUCAGUGCGAUCGACAAAUUGACGAUUUUGACGGCCGCCGACAAACACGAGAAGAGCGCCGACAAAAACUCAAAUACGAAACAUUUAGUGAACAUGCUGCAUACCCCCUGGAAAGCAUUAAACGCUGUGGGAAAAAUCACACAAUUUUACCACAUGUGGAGCUCCGCAAGCCCGAUGUGAUGACCGACGAGGAGGCCAGUAGUGUUGAACGCGUCUGGACUCUAAAGAUUUGGGAUCGGUGGCGUUUGUACAGAUUAUGGGUUCAAAGAUACAUCAAAGAUCACGAAUCAAAACUUGGCGAGCAUCGUAAGAGGUACGAGGAAAUUGCAAAGAGGGUGCAAGAUGUACAUAUACAAGAAGAUCUUGAAAUUCUCCAAAAAGCAAACGUAGUCGGCAUGACGACCACGGGCGCAGCUAAGUUCCGUGCCGUGUUACAGCGUCUUCGUCCCGGUAUCGUAGUGGUGGAGGAGGCUGCUGAAGUUCUUGAGGCUCACAUCAUCACCACCUUGACUGCAGCAUGCCAACAUCUUAUUCUCAUCGGAGAUCACCAACAGCUGAAACCAAACCCAACUGUCUACCGCCUGGCGAGGCAGUUCAACCUGGACACCUCUCUGUUUGAGAGAAUGAUCAACAAUGGCGUGCCCUGUAACACGCUAUCGCAUCAACACCGAAUGAGACCCGAAAUCUCCUCUCUGAUGAAGAAACAUUUCUACAACAAUCUCCAUGACGACGAAUCUGUGCUGAAAAUGGAUGAUGUCAAAGGAGUAAAACAUAACAUGUUCUUCAUUGAUCAUCGAUGCCUGGAAGACGAAGAUGAUGACGACAGAAGCAAAUCGAAUCAGUACGAAGCUGAAGUCCUUGUUGAAUUGUGCAAAUACCUGUUGCGUCAAGGUUACCAACACUCACAGAUAACAAUCCUAACCACUUACACGGGGCAACUCUUCUGCUUCAGACGUCUUAUGGACAAAGCAACCUUUGAAGGUGUUCGAGUCUGCGUAGUAGACAACUUCCAGGGAGAGGAAAAUGAUAUCAUUCUGUUGUCUCUGGUACGAAGCAACGAGGAAGGAUCCAUCGGGUUCCUGCGCACUUCAAACCGCGUCUGCGUUGCAUUGUCUAGGGCUCGCAUGGGUUUCUACUGCAUCGGUAAUGCGAGCAUCUUGAAGAAGGCAGAGAUCUGGGCGAAGAUUGUAGCCACACUAGAGGAUGAGAACCAAAUCGGCUUUUCAUUGCCACUGGUCUGCCAAAAUCAUCCCGACAAAAUCACACCGGUUGCUACAGCUGAUGACUUCAAAACAAAGGUGCCGUGUGGAGGUUGUGACGGACCGUGCGAGUACAGACUGCCUUGCGGUCACGUGUGCGCUUCCCUCUGCCAUCCAGACCACUCCAAUCAUGCCGAAUACAAAUGUUGCAAACCAUGCACAAUGAAGUGCGAUCGAGGAGAGCAUCCUUGCCCACUUCUCUGCCAUGAGCAGUGCAGCCCGUGCACAAAUGUGGUUCAGAAGACGAUGCCUGGUUGUGGUCACGUGAUCCAGAUAUUCUGCCAUAGGUUGGAUGAUGUCACCUGUAUCAAGCCUUGCGAUAAAACUUUCACCGAUUGUGGCCAUCUUUGUGGGCGAAAAUGUGGUGAUAUUUGUCCGCAUCAGAAGUGCCCUAUGCCAUGCAAGAACACACAGUCAUGUGAACAUCACUGCACAAAGCCAUGCGGUCAGUCCUGCGAGGUAUUCUGUCAAGUUCGAGUAACGAGAACCUUAUCCAAGUGUCACCACCAAGUCCUCAUGAGGUGCGGUGAACGCCCUGAAAAUAUUCUUUGCCGGACCCAAAUUACUAAAACUCUUCCUAUCUGCGGUCACCAAGCUCAAAUGCGAUGCUUUGAAGAUCCCAGCGGAUCAGAAUGCAGCCAGAGAUGUGAGAAGAUACUUAAGUGUGGACAUCAGUGCCCUAACAUCUGCGGGAAACCUUGUGAGUUGUCUGCUAUUGGUCUAACUGACUUCGAAAUCUUUAAAAAGUGUUCAAAACCAUGCGAAAAGAUAUUGGUAUGUGGGCAUCGAUGUCCAAAAAUAUGCAGUGAGCCAUGUCCACUAGAGAAAAAUGAAGUAGCACUGAUGUCUCCAUCGAGAUCUGCCAAAGCCUUUUCCGAAUUUUGUAGGGAGAAAUGUCGUAAAAAAUUAGCUUGUGGGCACCUGUGUCCCAACAAGUGUGGCGAACCCUGUCCGGGACCCCAAAUGGAUCACCGAAGAUAUCCUUCAAACAUUUGGACAAAGUGUCAGGAAAGAGUGCAGAAGAAACUUCCACACUGCAAUCACAGUGUAAAUGUGAGGUGCGAAACGGAUGUCAGUACUUUUAUGUGUCACCGCAGUUGUGAGAAAACUCUGCCUUGCGGCCACAAGUGUCCUAACAAAUGCAGUGAGCCCUGUGCAGGCCUGUUUAUCCCAGUUGUUCCCCAUGGAUCCACACAGCAAGGAAAGCAGACACCACGUGCAAGGUGCGAAGUUGACAGCACGAAGGCUCUGGCAUGCGGUCACAGCACCAGACGCAUGCCGUGCUGGAAGGCAGAACGAGCCGCCAAAAUGCCGUGCAGGGAACCGUGCAGGGAUGAACUUGUGUGUGGUCACAAAUGUGCUGGUACCUGUCAUGACUGUAAUCAAGGUACUCUGCAUAAACCAUGUGCUAAGGUGUGCAACAAGCAGCUCAUCUGUGGUCAUUACUGUAAAAGUGUUUGCGGAAGUGUCUGUUCUCCAGACUGUACGAAAUGCAAUGAAGACCUGAUGCAGGGUACAAGUCAACCUUUAGCGGCAUCUCCCCCUUGUAAACACAAUUUUACUCAUCAUCAGCUGAAGACGAAUGCAUGCGUUCGACCCUGUGACCAACUACUCCAAUGCAGCCAUCCGUGCAUUGGCGUCUGCGGUGAUCCAUGUCCUCCGUUCUGCAAUGUUUGCGACAAAAAGAGCGUCCGAACCAGUUUGCCCAGAGGAAGAAGUCGGCUAAGGGAUGUGUACAUUUAUCUCCCAGACUGUAAACAUCUUUGUGAGAUGCGUUCCCUGGAUAAGAUGUUUGUAGCGAUCAAGAAUGACCUCGAGGGUGGUUACUUUCAGAUUCGUUCUGUUUCGUGCCCAAGAUGCCAGCAACCUAUCCGUCACUGUCCUCGUUACCAAGAUGUCCUCAAGGCUGUCAGUGACUUAGUUGAGAGAGUACGACGUCGUUGCCUCAUCAUUAGAAGACACGUCUUUGGGGUCGGAAGCCCUGAUGUCCAAAGGUGCACUCUACUCGCCUCACCUGGCAUGUCAUUUGAAGUAGGAAGGUGGAUGAGAUGCCACAAUGGUCACGUGUUUCACCAAAAUCGAGGCGAUGAUGACAAACAUUCAGGGCAGCCCAAGGAACCACUUUGCCCACAUUGCUCGCAUGAGUAGCGUCACAUAUAGCUCGUAUUACAGGUGCGUGGAGGAAACCUCCCUAAAUACUUCCUCGGGAGGAAAGUACUGCUCAAGAUUGGUAAUAUCAAAGACACAGAAAUAAAAACAUAAAAUAGAAAAACCGGCCUGUGGCACUAAAGAAUCAUUUAUUUCAACUGAAGGACUUGCAUAACUUCCAAACUGUAUUCGUCGUUGUCUUUCAGUUUACAAUCCACAGGGGAAACAUACAAGACAGCGAAACCUCAAAUUGACCAGAAUGGAGUGCAAAUCUAGAAGGAACAAAUUUGUCAAGAAAAAGUAAUACUGGCGCUAAAAUGAUACCGCGCUAUAUCUCCUCAUCCUUUUAAUAAAAAAUGUUUCAAAGUUAUUUUUUAGGGUUGCAUUUAUUUGUCUUGUAUGCUGAGGAUAGAUUAGUGUUGUUUCAGAAUAUUAUAAUUUCGUAUUAUGGUGGAGUGUCUAAUCUUAGCUUACAAGGCUAUACCUUGUGAGUUUCGUUGUUUCUUAUACGUACAGAGUACCAGUAGAUUUUUGAAAGUAGGCCUAUGUUUGAAGUUAGUAAAAAUAUAAAUACAGUACUUGAAGUAACAGACAUUCGUAUUAUUUAAUAAAUAAAGAUGGAGAUGUAACGAUUUCAAACGGGACUAACUAUUACACAAGUUUAUGAAUUGGAUUCAUAAGAUAACUUUCUGACUAUAAUAAGUUAUGUUACAUAAUUUUCUUGAACGAUCGAGGACACAUGUAUAGUUAGAGAAAAUGCUAAGCGUUGUGUUGAAUCCUUUUUGAAUGUCGUAUGUGACUUUACUGAUUAACGUAGGAAAUGCACUUUCGUGCAAAACAAAUUUAUAAACCAGGUCUUUGGAAUUAAUAGUGGAAAAUGUAUAUGAUGAGGAUGUCACGAACAGGAUUACUGGCCUUGAACAACUUCAAAUUUAUAUCGUUUAUUAUCAUUAAAUAAAUUAUACUUAUCAUCUGCAUUUUAACUUUUGCGACAGACGGCAUUACCGUAUUCCGUUUUGUUUUCAUGGCACUUCACAGAGCAAAGUCGGAUAUAAAGGAAAAUUGAGAACAGAAAGUUUAAAUUCACCAGUUCGUGCUUGUACAAGAAGUGAUUUCCGUUCGCUUCCGUUCUAACAUCAUGCUACGAUUACACAUGACUUCGGUGAAAACUCAGGCACAAACCAGGAUGUUAAUUGCAGUGGAUUUUUUGUCGUGGAAAAUACAGCUUAGGGAGGAUUCCACAACUGUAUUCCUUUUGUUGAUUCAUGGAACAUACAGUUAUAAUGUAUGAGGUUAGAAUUUCGGAUAAAUCACCAAAAACAUCAAUAGUCAACAGACGCAAACUUGGCUUGGGUGGAAUAAUCGCACAUUUAUGGAUGUUCGAGAUGCCCAAUGUUUCGAUUUGUUUGGUUUUACGAUUGAAAACCAAUUUUGGUUUUCUCCAAGAGAACCUGAAAGAUAUUAACCAAUACAAUUAAUUUGGUGUUAGCUUAAAAUUGAGAGAACAUGCGUAUGAGAAAAAUUUAAAAUACGUUUUUUUCGCUCAAUACUAGGUUCAUGCUUUGUUUUCAACUUCUUGUGUGGUGAAGGAAAAAGUUAGUUCGGGGAUAUAAGUAGUAAUUGAAACACGCAAUUGAGUUAACUUGUAAUGUAACCGGUUGUAUAUGAAUGUAUCUAUGAUUUGUUAUUAGUUUUGACUUCUACUUCCAAUAAAAUUGUUAUGUCCGGUAUCUCUAAAUAAGAGCUAUGUCUUACCUUCUCAAAGUAACUGUGAACUUGCUGAAGGGCAUUUUGUAUUUUGAAAGAUUAGGAAUCUUGUCGCAGUUCUCUAAUGUAUUGUCAUGCCAUUUUGUAGGGUAGAAUUCUUUUAAUAAAGCCCUAUUUAAUAUUAAAAAUUACGUUUUUAAUUCACAGGCAUUGAGUUCUUUGGUUAAUAUAACGUCAAAUCAAUCUGUAUGGUUAAUAAGUGACUAUCAAAUUAAUGAUCCGAAUCUGUAAACAAGACGAUUUUCUAGACAAGAUUUGAUUUGCAAAAUGUAAUAUUUCUCAACGAGAUGUUCAGUUUGACAAUGAUUUUGGUGAAAUAUCGUAAAGUCUGACCUUUGCCGGAUGAAAUUCAGCAAUGUUAAUUAGAGUGGUAUGAAGCUCAUGGGAUUAUUGUUGCGGCCUUAGAUUUUAGAUUUUGUGUAAAAAUAGUCCAAGGCUAUAAUUUCAAGGAAAUCGUUUUAGCGAAAUGGCAACAGGCUCGAAGUUUGCUUUGGUAUAGUACCGGCAAUCGCACCGUAAUGGAUAUAACUUUUGAGUAAUGCACAUUGUUUUGAUAUUUGGUUUUUGUAUCACAUUUGAAAACCGAGUUUUUGUUUUUCUAAGAGAUGGAAACCUGUAAGGUAAAUAAAACAACCAAUUGGUAAAUAGAAA
rnacentral:misc_RNA from 1 species